UAGACCAAUACACAGUUGUAGUAGAGACAUCACAACACUAUAGACCAAUACACAGUUGUAGUAGAGACAUCAGAACACGUUAGACCAAUACACACUUGUAGUUGAGACAUCAGAACACUUGUAGUAGAGACAUCAGAACACUUGUGGUUGAGACAUCAGAACACUAUAGAACAAUACACAGUUGUAGUAGAGACAUCAGAACACUUUGCAGAACACAAUAAUGAUACCAAGAUGCAUAUUUUAUCAGACACUCAUCUCUGUAGUGAAUACGACCUGUUUCAGUUUUGUACACCUGACCAGGUGAGGGUUGAUGAAGUUGUAUAUAUGCAAAUGUUAUUUUAAUCUGUGGAGGCUGAGGAUGCAGCAAUUGUGAUGACUUUAUUUUAUAUAUUUUUUUACUGUUACACUCUGUUACAGAUAAUAUGGCAGUGAGCCUGUAUGAUGUCUGGGAUAUAUUUGUAUACAUAUAUCUAUGUAAAUAGAAUCCGUAUUGAUACCUGUGUGUGAUAUGCGUGAUGGUUAUUAAUUGAGAAAUAUUUCAAAUUUCAUGUCAACAUUUUUGUGGUUUAAUUUUGAUAAAUUUUCCCACAAUGCCACAUGGAUGGUUUCUUCUUUAAGGCACAAGUACUUAAGGCAUUUGUAUUUCCCCAAGUGUUUAAAUGUAAUUAAGGUCCAUGAUUUUUUCUGGAGUACAUACAUUUUUAUCUGGAGAGUCUCCAAGUUGAAUUUUGUUUCAUAAACUGGGAUUCCUCAAUAUUUUGUAACUGAAUUUCAAGCACUGUUCCAUAAAACCGGAUCUUUUGAGAAUGUUCAGAAUUAUUUUAAAUAAGCGUGGGACAUUUCACAUCUGGCAGGGGUUGCAAUGUCUGUGAUUCGUACACUGGGAAACAAUCUUAUAUUUGUGUUUUUUUCAUUUGCCUGUUUUUAAAGGCACUUGUCUUAGCAUCUCGUCUGAGGGAUUGGUCAUUUAUUAUAGGGUUGGGUUUGCAGGUGGGAUGGUUGUCCCUUAAUUUCAGCAGCAUUUUUCAUGUCCCCCAUUAUUAACUACCACAAAGGGCCUAAAUAAAUUUCUAGAGGCAAGUGAGUUUAUUAAAAAAUGCUUCCGUUUAUUCAGCAGUGAAUGGGUACCCGGUGGGAUAAGUCUAUUAAUCUUCUAGUGUCUCAAAGGCAACUUGAGUUAACCAGGAUAAAAAUGUCAAUAAUGUGCUUAAAGCAUGCUUGUGUGUCAUAGAGCUCAGUGCCAUACAAGUGGCAUUGUUACUGUUUUCUAAAAAAUUAGAACUGUAAUUGUUUCAUGACAACCCUCCUUACGCCCACUGCCUUCUAUAAUAAAUGACCAACCCCCUAAUGACUUGGCUGUGUGCAUGAUUCCCAUUGUAAUAGCCCUUUGUGUAUACGCUGUAUAUGUCGCUGGGUGCAGGUUUAUAUUUAUCAUGCAUGCUGUGUAUGUAAAACAACUUCAAACCAAUGGCAACCAGUUGUCUGAACCGUCUUUUAUUGUGACACUAGUCUUGUACAGUGCUUGUAGGCCUUUUCUUUUUUGAUAGUGUAAAAUGACUUUUUACAACAGUUCAUGACCUUUCAGAUUUGUUCUGAUUUGCAGUUAUUCCACAUUUGUCAUUGCAAUGUUUAAUCUUGCCAAGUCAUGAUGAUGAUGAUGAUGAUGAUCAUGAUGAUGAUGGUGACGAUGAUGAUGAUUACCACGUGCUUCUAGAGAAACUGAUUUUUCACUUUGUUUGUAAAUUGAAUUUAUUUAUGUAAUAAUAAGCAUAAUUUUCAGAAUAAGACUAUAAUUGUGAUGUAACCAUAUUCAGCUGUUAAGUAGAUUAACUCAGCUAAUAUUUGGGGAUUAUUUGAAUCUCAUGACAACUAGCUGAGGAGAGCAAUCUUACCUGUAUUACACCACUGACACCCAUUACACAGGGGGGCGGUGGGGUAGCCUAGUGAUUAAAGCGUUGGCUCCUCAUGCCGAAGACCCGGUUCGAAUCCCCACAUGGGUACAAUGUGUGAAGCCCAUUUCUGGUGUCCCCCUGCCGUGAUGUUGCUGGAAUAUUGCUAAAAGCGUCGUAAAACCAAACUCAGUCAGUCAGUCAGCCAUUACACAGGAGAACCAUCAGCUAUGUGGCAGGAUGUAGCAGUCAUUGACCAAGGACACUUGACACAGAAUAUACAAUUUCUUACCAUCAUCAACUUUAUUAGUACCAGAGAAGCUAUGGUUUUAUACAACACAAGGAAUGACAUAAUAACUAUAAUAAUAUAAAAGAAUUGGGCAUUCAGGAUACUUAAGGGAAGGUAGUGUUCUGGGGAACACUAUGUUUAACCUCCCACAAACAUUUAUGUCGCAACUGACUGAGAAUUUGAAAAAGUGUUGGUCUAUUUUUGUCCGAAUUUUUCAUUAUCUGGACCUGUUAUGCAAAUGUACAGAUCUAGACAUUGUACGCAAGGAAUGUAUCCUGUUUGCUUCUUGUGAAAUUGUCUGAAGCCCCUUAAAUACUAAAUACACUGUGAAACUCUUCUCAUAAACAUAUGACAGGGGUGGAACCUUGUAUCUUUCUUUGAAUAAGUCUUUGCUAAAUAAGCAUGUUAUUGAUAUGCAAUAUGUGGGUCAAAGCCCACUGAAGAUACAUGUUUGAUGGUGUAUUUUCAUGUCAGCUGUUUUCAAAAAUUCGAUUCCCCACAUGGGUACAAUAUGUCAAGCCCAUUUCUGGUGUCCCCCAAUGUGAUAUUGCUGGAAUAUUGCUCAAAGUGGCGUAAAACCAUAUUCACUCACUCAUGUCACAUUAUGUGUCAAUUUUUGAAAAUAUAUGACAUGUAUGUUAAAUGGAAUGGGGGGUGGUUAAAGCGUUCGCUCGUCAUGCCGAAGACCCAAAUACCCGGUUCGGUUUCCCACAUGGGUACAAUGUAUGAAGCCCAUUUCUGCUGUCCCCUGCCGUGAUAUUGCUGUAAUAUUGCUAAAAGCGGCGUAAAACCAAACUCACUCACAAAGGAUGGAACAGUUGUUACUGAUUGUUGGCAAAAUGGUUGAUGGCUGAUUUAGCACUUAUGACCAUCCAUGACAGCUUCAAACUCUGUUGUCAUAGUGACAAUAUUUCUGAUGAUGAUUUGAAACAUCACUUACUUAGGUAUAACACUCAAAACAAACUGCAGAACUUCACAAUUGGAAGAUAAAAUCAGUUGUUUUUCAAUUGAGCAAUUUAUAUGACUUUGAAAUAAGAUUAAGGUGUUCCCAAAGGUCUUACCAAUAUUUUAUCAGUCAUCAGUUCAAAAGAUACAAUUUCUUUUUCUGAUAGAGAAGACCAACACUCUUUGGGGACUCACGAUACUUUGGUCUCUAAAAUAUUCAUCAUGUUUAGUGAAUAUGAUCCACUUGUAUCUCCGUGGGUUGUAACUCACAUACCUGAAUGGAGUCUUACAUAUCCAUAGCAAUAAGAUGGUCCAAUUGCUUUUGUGUUGAGGAGACAUUUACUUUGCCGAUCCAUGAUGCUAUCAGUUAGAAAAUAUUAGAAACGAAAAGCAGUAUGGCACAGCUAAUAUACAUCCCUGUCUGAAUUGCGGAAAAAUGUAUGGAUGUAACUUUUGCAUUAUUGGGAAUAUAUAUACCCAUGAAGGUCGGGGUUAGAAUAUUGGUCUUUAGUAACCCAUGCAUGUCGGAAGAGGCGACUAACGGGAUCGUGCGGUCAGGCUCGCUGACUUGGUUGACAUGUACACAUGUCAUCGGUUAUUGCACAGAUCGAUGCUCAUGCUGUUGAUCACUGGAUUGCCUGGUCCAGACUUGAUUAUUUACUGACCGCCGCCAUAUAGCUUGAAUGUUGCUGAGUGCAGCGUAAAACAACUCACUCACCCACUCGAGUAUAUAAUUGUCAUUCCUUCAUAAGUUGAAUGAAAGCUGGGAAGACUGUUGCUGUAUAUGUUGAUAUAGUUAAGUAGGGUAUAAGGGUGAUAUUAUGGGAUAGAUAGGAUAGGUAAGCUAUUGCUUGUCCGACCAACAUAUACUCUCAUCUGUUGAUAAGGAUAUUAUUCACAAAUUCCAUUCUCAGAAUGUCAAGUGUGUGUUUAAAUAUCUCUUGCUAUCCUUAUCAAUAGUUGAGUAGUAUGUAUUCUAGUUUUUGUUUAAUAGGUUGACUGCCACCCGAGUAUACUCGUAGUAUCAAUUCUGGCCGAAUGUGCCACUACGAGUUAUCUAGUGGUAGUUUGAAACAAGUUUCACAUGUUGGCAAAAUAGGCACAAGAAACAAAAGACUCCUGGAGACAACUGCUUCUUGUGCCUGCUUUGACAACAUGUGAAACCUGUUUCAAAAUAUCAUUGAUGAAGCUACGAGAUUUUUUAUUUUUUUACUCGUAGUAGCAAAUUCGGCCACGCAUUGAUACUACGAGUAUACACGGGUGGCAGUCAACGUGUUAAGGGGCAAGCACUAUUGGCAAGCAGUUGGAACCAAAUGCCUCUUGGGUUGAUGACACAUACAUGAGAAUAUGCCACUGUUCUUCCUGAAUGAUAAUGGACUCCUCACACAGUGAGUUCUAAAAAUAGCAUUUCAAAGAAUAAGGUCAUGAGUUAAAAUGUUUCUCAGAGAAAUAAACAAGAUAAUUUUUUCUUGUGCAUAUGUAUUUCACGGCUUUGUGCAAUUUAUGUCUAAGCAUUAAACAUUACACAGAUGA
rnacentral:lncRNA from 1 species